UCCACGCGCACGCGCAGGGACUCGCCCCGCCGGCUCGCGCAGGUCUUUUGCUUUCUCUUUCCGGUCUCCCUCCCCUCCCCCUCUCGGGCCCGCGGGACCACAAUGCUCCGCGCCUCUUGUCAUUGGGAGGCGCCUUAAAGUGGGGGUCACUCGGAAAGAAAAGAAUUCCAUGGAUAACAGGAAAAACCCAAGAGUUGGUGCUGUGUUCCCAACCCUAGUCCAGCACAAACCUACGAGCCAAGGCAGCCAGUAUUUGGCCAUUCGUCCAUCCAUCUGCAUAUCCCAGGGAUGCACGAACAGAGAACAGUUCAGCCUCUCGGCCGCCUUCAAUAGAGCAAUGAGAAAGAAGUUAUUUGGGGGAGACUGCUUUUCGUCAUCUGAUUCUAUAUUGACCUGAAUAAAUAAGCUUAAAUACUUCUGAAGUUCCUUCUUGAUCUGUAUAAAAGAUUCCUUGACCAAUUUAGUCCUGCUUGAAGAAAUAAAAAAGAUUAACCAU
rnacentral:lncRNA from 1 species